CCUACGGGAGGCAGCAGUGGGGGAUAUUGCACAAUGGGGGAAACCCUGAUGCAGCGACGCCGCGUGGGCGAAGAAGUAUUUCGGUAUGUAAAGCCCUAUCAGCAGGGGAGAAGAAAUGACGGUACCUGAGUAAGAAGCACCGGCUAAAUACGUGCCAGCAGCCGCGGUAAUACGUAUGGUGCAAGCUUUAUCCGGAUUUACUGGGUGUAAAGGGAGCGCAGGCGGCACGGCAAGCCUGAUGUGAAAGCCAGCGGCGCAACCGGGGGAAUACAUUGGGAACUAACGGGCUUGAGUGCCGUAGAGGUCGGCGGAAUUCGUGGUGUAGCGGUGAAAUGCGUAGA
rnacentral:rRNA from 1 species